rnacentral:rRNA from 1 species
UACGUAGGGGGCAAGCGUUGUCCGGAAUCAUUGGGCGUAAAGAGCGUGUAGGCGGCCCGAUAAGUCCGCUGUGAAAGUCCAGGGCUCAACCCUGGAAUGCCGGUGGAUACUGUCGGGCUCGAAUCCGGAAGAGGUGAGUGGAAUUCCUGGUGUAGCGGUGAAAUGCGCAGAUAUCAGGAGGAACACCCGUAGCGAAGGCGGCACUCUGGGCCGAUACUGACACUGAGGAGCGAAAGCGUGGGGAGCGAACGGG